AGAGCCUUUAUUUGGGCUUUUAGGAAAUUUUUCUGUUUUAUAGAAUUAUGCCGGGGAAGGUUUUCCGGUUUAUCCCGGAGGGCUUGUAGCUCAGUUGGUUAGAGCGCGCGCUUGAUAAGCGUGAGGUCGGAGGUUCAAGUCCUCCCAGGCCCACCAAUUUAAUUAAGUGCUUGAGAGAGUGCUUAUUAUGCGUGCACAUAAGAAUGUGGCGUUUGUUAAUUUUACUAAAGUGAUUUACGCUUUUCUUUAAGAGAAGGGUUCUGUUCUUUAUCCUAUUUAGGGGCCGUAGCUCAGCUGGGAGAGCACCUGCUUUGCAAGCAGGGGGUCGUCGG
rnacentral:misc_RNA from 1 species